AACAUCCUCCACGGCCCCACCACGCUGGCAGGUCUCACGGCCCCGGAACCCGGAAUGCUCGGGCUCACCCCGAAGAAGACCCAGGGUCUGCAUGAGCAGCAGGACCCAGGGAAGGAUGAUUCUGACAAAGGUGCUUAAUUCAGCGUGCCUCAGUGAGCAUCACCUCAGUCUCGCAUGCUGUCAGCAGAGCUGCUCUGAAUGAAACUAGGACACAUGAAGUCCCCAGGCCUGCGGUCUCAGCCUGUCCGCUGCUACCCGCAUAACCUGCAUGCAGGCUCUGCACCCAGCGGCAUGAGCCUGAGCUUCCCCGCAGGGGAAAGGAGAGGGUCCUGGCCUCUACACGGAUCUGCGUUCAGGCCUCACCACCUGAUCCCCUCACAAACUCUGUCCCUCGUCACAUAACCUCUCAUGGCCGGACCUUCCUCUCGGCGGUAGUGCUGCAAGGGAUGGACUCACAUGCUCUCGGCAGUGAUCUGCUGGCCACACGAGGGAGGUGCGCAUGGGGCUGACCAGACCCUGACCCUCCCAUAGGCACCGAGGACCACAACCUCAAUCACCCAUUCUGGGGAGGCCCAGUGAGACCCCAUCUCUGCAAUCCUGUUCCAUCCCGGACACUUGUGGUCCAACAACCAGUUGAGGAAUUUCAUGCUGCUGGUGUGCAGCCUGAGGCUGCGAGCUCCCCAUCCAUCAUCACAGAACCAGUGGACUGGAAAGGAAGUGCAUGCCCUGUAUCCUGGAGGAGGACUGGGCAGACGGGGAAGAUUCAGGCUCGCAGCGGACGCACACACCCGGUAACAGGAUCCCCCCCCUCCGCCCCCUGCAAGCCCGACGUGCCUGUCCAGCUGCGCCACCCUUGUGUCCUCAGGCUCCCUCCCUGCCCUUCAAGUCCAUCAUGUCAUGUCGCUCAGCACGUCUUUGUCCUGGUUGCUCAUCAUGCUGGGCAUCUGGCGGGGGUUCAUAAAUCUGCUAUCGGUCAAGGAGCCAGUGGGGCCACAUGCCGGGCAAGCAGGAGUCUCGAGUAACAGGAUUAGCCUCGGGCAGGGUAAGAACACCGGAACAGGCAUCUGUGGCAAGGGCUCUGGGUACUCCCGCUUGCCUAGCACAUAACCCUUCUCUGCCCACACCCCUUCUCCUGAAGCCAGCGUUCCCACCUGUCUUCACACUUCCCCCAACCACUACCAUUCUUUCUCCCCUCUCUUGUUUUCGCCAGGUGGCCAGGGUAACCGUGAGGGUGAAUAAUCACAUUCAGUCAAAGUUGCCUAAAAAAACUCUGAAACCUCACACUACAACGAAGCUUAAGAAAAUCAGAGGCUCAAAGCUCUGUAGCCAGUGUUCCAAGUUGGAUGAGGAGCUGAAUGAAAACUAAUCAGAGGCGGUCUCAGGGACCCUGUAGACCCCUGCUUUUCCAGCUAAUCAGAAUGAACCAGAGGAGGCCCCAGAGACUGUGGAGUCCCCUGUUAUUCUCACUAAUCAGAACGAACCAGAGGAGGUCCCAGAGACCAUGGAGACCCCUGCCAUUCCAGCUGGACCAGUGGACAGCCAGUGACUUUGGAGUAUGGCUAGAGACCUCAGAUGCUCGGGGGUCUCUCCGCUGAGUACUGACCAACAGUACAGAUGUGGAGUAUUAUAGGAACUGCAUACAUUAAUAAUUAAAAUAAAAUCAAAUCAACCUGA